rnacentral:tRNA from 1 species
AUGGCUCAGUGGUUAAGAGCACUGCCUGCUCUUUUCCAGAGGACCUGGGUUCAAUUCCCAGU